UCACGCGCUGGAAUGAAAUAAAAAGCCUUUCUCCCAACCUCAGGACAUCUACAGGUCUUGUACGAUCUCACAGCAACUCAAGUCAACGAAGAUGAAGGCUUUCAUCGUAGUUCUGAUCGUCAUGGUGGCUGUCGCCGCUGCUGCUCCCUCCGUGGACAAGCGUAAUGCUCUCACCGACCUUCUGAACAAGCUGAGGACCACGCUGGCCUCUCAUCCUGAUGUGACUGAGGGCGUCUGUGAGGCUACGUGCCACACCAUCGCCGGCCUCUUCAGUUUACUGUGCGGUGAAGCCUGCGCCCUGUUGGUCCGUGAGAUCGGAGGUUGAAGAAGAACUCGUCUCUACAAGACUAUUUCUUGCUCAACGCUCGGUUGGUAACACAAAAAUCAAUGGAGUAAAAUAAAUAUUUUGAAAAAUA